CCCUUAGAUGUUCUGGGCCGCACACGCGCUACACUGAAGGAGGCAGCGUGUACUCCUGGAUCGAAAGAUUUGGGUAACCCGCGAAUCUCCUUCGUGCUAGGGAUUGAGGUUUGCAAUUAUCCUUCAUGAACGAGGAAUUCCCAGUAAGUGCAAGUCAUAAGCUUGCGCUGACUACGUCCCUGCCCUUUGUACACACCGCCCGUCGCUACUACCGAUUGAAUGAUUUAGUGAGGACUUCGGACUGGGACCGAUGCGGCUUUCGGGCUGCGUCGGUAUUCUGGAAAGAUGCCCAAACUGUAUCAUUUAGAGGAAGUAAAAGUCGUANCA
rnacentral:rRNA from 1 species